rnacentral:rRNA from 1 species
GUGUCAGCAGCCGCGGUAAUACGGAGGAUCCGAGCGUUAUCCGGAUUUACUGGGUUUAAAGGGUGCGUAGGCGGCCUGGUAAGUCAGGGGUGAAAGUUUGCCGCUCAACGGUAAAAUUGCCUUUGAUACUGUCAGGCUUGAAUAGGCGCGAGGCAGGCGGAAUGUGACAUGUAGCGGUGAAAUGCAUAGAUAUGUCAUAGAACACCAAUUGCGAAGGCAGCUUGCCAGAGCCUUAUUGACGCUGAGGCACGAAAGCGGGGGGAGCGAACAGGAUUAGAUACCCUGGUAGUCCACGCCCUAAACGAUGCUUACUCGAUAUUCGUCCUUCGGGAUGAGUGUCCAAGCGAAAGCGAUAAGUAAGCCACCUGGGGAGUACGCCCGCAAGGGUGAAACUCAAAGGAAUUGGCGGGG